rnacentral:lncRNA from 1 species
GCUGCUUCGAGCUCUAGCAACCCUUUUAGCACUGGGCAGCAAGCAUUUUCAACGGGGUUUCCUAGCCCUAUGUGCACCAAACCUCCAAGAACAUCCACACAAAGCCCUAGCUUAAGUGCAUUGAUUGGACAAGUGGGUUGAGUAGUAGGUGGAGGGUUAAGUCCCGGAACAUUGCCGCCUCCUCCGCCACCACCUCCGCCGCCUCCGCCGCCGCCGCCUGGCGGUGUGUAAGGUGGAUAAGUAGAAGGUGGUGGAAUUGUUACCGGAGGGUUUGUGACAGGAGGAGUAAUUACCGGAGGAUGUGUAAUUGGAGGGACUGUGACUGGUGGUGGAGGAAAAAUGAUUGGAGGGGCAAUAAUUGGCGGCCUUUUGGAUGGUGGUGAUAAUUUCGGGGGGUGACCUCCAUGAUGUGGCGGGUGUUUGGUGCGUGGUGGGUUCGGGUGGGGAAUUUUCGGAUGAGUCUUCGGAGGGCU